UUUCUUUUCUUUCAGUUACACCUCACUGUUUUAUUUAUUUAUUUAUUUUUACGGUGUUUCAAUUUUUACUAUAAAAGCAGUAUGUCAUUUAUGAAUUUUUAAGAGGUGCUGGCAAAUCUUCAAGGAUACAUGUAUUUGUUAUUGAAGAUUUUUGCAUGGUUUUUGGUUGAAAAUUUGGUUACUAUCAGGUCAUCCACUUGUCAAAACUUUUAACACUUUAGUUUCCUGAGUGGGCCACAUCAUUUUCAAGUUAGUUGUGUCGUUGGAUCUAUGGAUGAUAUCUAGAUAUUUACUGAUAUCAGCCAAAUGAAUGUUUGAACAGAAUUUUUAGUUGUUGGCAUGGUAGAAUUUGUAGGAUUACAAGACUCGGGUUUCUUUAAUGUGUGGAAGUUCUUUUGGUUUUUCAUGCCCUACAUUCCCCGUUUAUAUUAGAAAAUUUGUUUUUUCCAUUGCUUGCUUUUAAGAGUCCAUAAUCUUUGUUUAAUGCUGGUGCUGAUCACUAGAGUCCCUUCUUUCUCUAGUGUACGCUAAGAAUGAUUUGGUUUUUUGUUUUUACCAACAAUGUUCUAAAAGAUAUGAUUUUGGACUGCAAUUCGUAGUUUCUGAAAUGGAUGGAACAGCCACCUAGUUCUGUUUUUACAGAAAUAUACUGCGGGAUGAUAACUGGGCUGUAUUAUGUUAUUUGUGCAAGGGAGAGGGUCAAAGAAUCUUCACUGGCUACACGUGGAAUCCAAUGGUUCAGCAGUGUAUACAUGAUCAAAGUUCCGUGUGUAGUCAUGUAGUUCUGACCCCGGGCAUGUUCAGUGUGUUUAGUUGUGUAGUAAUUUAAUUUGUUAGGAGAGGAUUGAUUAAUUGAGCAGCAGCAGCAACCAUCGAGAAAAUUUCAACUUAUGUAUGACCGACCAAUCAUAGAUGGCCAGCCAGAGUUUACAAAGUUUGAGACUUGUACACAGGAUACCCGUAUGCCUGUCUUCUGUAUGUCAAAGGUGCGUUAAAUAGGGAUGGAACCAGAAUCAUCAUCAUGAGCAAAAAUCCAGUUGGAAUUUUAUUACAUGUGUAACACAAUCAAAUCAAUGGUUAAGGACCAAGUUUCUGCGCCUUGUAUGUAAAAGUUAGGCUGAUUGCAAAGGUAUGAUGCCUUUCCAAAACAAGGUGUGGCCAAGCCACGAUGUACCCUGGUGUAUACCAAAAUGAAGGUGGCUUGUAUACCGUGGAAAUUGCAAGAAGAUGCCUCAUUGGGACGAAUUUGACGCAUACAUAGGCUCAGAGAGAGGUUACUAAUUGGGGAUUCUGUGAAAGGUUGCAAGAAAUAUUUAUGGUCCUCUUAUGUUCCACAGGAAUGAUGGCUAAGAUAACAGAAUUUGAGCUAAGUGAAAUACUAUACCAUAACGUACUGAAGUUAUCCGGGUGCAAAGAGGCUGAACUGUUAUAAAGCGCAGAUGAAUAGGCAACUAGCAGACGUAGAAAUGAACAGGGUCUGAUAAUUUCAUUCCUUUUCAUUUUUGGUUUUUGCACCGGCGAAUUGGUCAGGUAUCCUUGGCAGCUAAAUUUGUAUUUUUUUUCAUAUUUCUUUACACUUUAACUGUUGGAAACAGGAGUUUCUUAUGAUAUGAUGUGCUAAUGGUGGUGAAGUUUAUUAUUAUUA